UACGUAGGGUGCGAGCGUUGUCCGGAAUUAUUGGGCGUAAAGGGCUCGUAGGCGGUUUGUCGCGUCGGGAGUGAAAACCAUGGGCUUAACUCAUGGCUUGCUUCCGAUACGGGCAGACUAGAGGCAUGCAGGGGAGAACGGAAUUCCUGAUGUAGCGGUGAAAUGCGCAGAUAUCAGGAGGAACACCGGUGGCGAAGGCGGGUCUCUGGGCCGAUAUUGACGCUGAGGAGCGAAAGCGUGGGGAGCAAACAGG
rnacentral:rRNA from 1 species